rnacentral:lncRNA from 1 species
GUUGGGAACCCGCCCAUGCCGCUGAUAUUUCAAAAAUUUUUCAGAUGGCAGCGGAAUCGGCAUGCACGGGUUCGACGUUCAUCGCAUGAACGUUGUUUCGAGACCUUUUGUAAUUAGGUAAGAAUUAAAACUUUUAAAACUAUUAGAAAGAUCAAAUCUUCACCUUGCGCGGGUAGAUGAUCACCGCAAAUCUGAAUUCGUGGUUUUGGAAGAGGGUUCGCUUGAAGCCGUUCAAACGUCCGGCCUCUACGGGUAUCCACACGAAGCAGGAUCCGAUCCAAGCUUUCUAUCUCACCGGGGUGCUAGCUCCCUUGCAGAGAUAGCUUUGAUGGCUGAUGUCCUCCCUCUCAAUCAACUCUUGAUUGUGCUUAGAAGGAGGAAGAAGAAGGAUGAAGAAGAGGAAGAAGAUG